UUACCAUAACACGUUCAUAUAGAAUGAGUUCUUUUGUAUCCAUAUAGAAACUUCUGUGAAUUUCUCUUAAUGUUAAAAUACCACGGGUUGGCUUAGUGAUUGAUACGACAUGUGAGGUAAAAGAAAAAAUUAAAAGACUUUUGGGGGAAUAACUGUGGAGAAAAUGAAUUUGAUAAAAAAAAAUUUACGUUGUGGAAGCAAUAAUAGAAAUGUUUAUGUUUAUUAAACAAAGAGAAAAUGAACAUUGGAAAAUGAGAGUGAAAUCCAAUAGAUAAAUAAAGUUCUAAUUGAAGGAGAACAAAAUUGGUGAUACCAACUUUACAUGGAAGCUCACUUUUAUGUAUGGUUCAUUAAUACCAACUUACAAAUUAAAUCUGUCUUCUUCUUCUUCUUCCUUUUUUUUUUUUUAAUAAUGGAAACAAACCUCAACCAUUAUGUGGUAAAAAGGAGAUAUAGUCUCGAUAACUAACUAAGAGGUUACGAGUUCAAUCUAUGAUGGCCACCUACUUAGGAAUUAAUGUCCUACGAGUUCAUUACUUUUUCUUAAAUGGAAAUGAACUUCUUUAUUAAUGGUUAUAGAUGAGACUAGAGCUCAAAGUACAAGGGUAUUAUACUAAGAACAAAAAGAACUAAGAAAAAAUACAGUCUAAAAUUGAAACAAAGUCUAUACUUCGGAAACAUAAAUACGACGUCAACCUAAAAACGAAUGCAAACAGAAAAACAUGAGCUAAUCAAAGCAACUAAAAGACAAUACUAAGUAAAACUUAAACGCUUCUCAAAAAGAGGCCACUCAAAUCUAAUUUUUUCCACACGCAAGUCUUCAAGAUGAAAAAAGAAAAAGAAAACCAAGAAGAUGCAACCAGCUGCUUCAAAACUAUCUUUCCAAUGCCCAGAAGAACUUGAAGAUAUCUUCCAACCCACAGAUUCGCAAUGAUGCUUUGGCAUCAAUGGUUCAGUGAAGAAAUAGGACCCAAUAACAGCUAAAAUUAAUUGCCUGUUCCCAAAAAGGUAUCCCCAGCAGUUGUUCUCCAUUGGCAAGCAAGAAAUCGAGGACCAACAUAAAAACCAUUAUUAAGCUAGCAACAACAAUCAUUGAGGCUUUACUCGCUCAGCCAUGUGAAGAAAGACCAUAGAAAGACAAAAGUUGUUCCAACAGCUGGGGAAACUGCAUUCAGUGGCUGACGAAUCAAACUAGAAUAAAUCAACAAUCGACGGCUAUUGACUUUAGAUGAUCUGGGAUUUUGCAAGACUGGGGAUGAGAGUGAGUAGCAGAGGGCAGUUUUUCAACUUUUGGUUCUUCCUCGCAUUGAAACAGGGAAUAAGCCGAAGAAAUCACCGGAAAAGUCUGAAGGUGAUGUCGGAGACUUAAAGUAGAAAGCGAGUAUGCCGGAGAAAUCACUGGAGAAGGUGCAGAGGAUCAAUGGAGAAGACGGCGGUAGAAGGAGUGAGUAGAGAGUCGAGAGGAGAGAGAGAAUACUUACCUUGUUCUACUGAAAAUUGGAAAAGCAACAAGAUCCUCUUCAAAUAACGUACUUUAAAUCCAAUGCUGGCCAUCCACAUAGGAUUUUUUUUAUUUUUUUAUUUUCAUGAGUUUUUUGAUAACCAAAAUUUGAGGUUUACGUAAUAAUGUAAAUCUAGAAGAACUUUUAUUCAAACCGUCAAAUUAGCCCUAACAGCUCGUAGAUACAAGUAUGUGUAGGCGGGGCAGCAGCCUCCAAAGAGGAGAAGAUUGAUUGAUUGGCUGAAACAAUAAGCCCAAGGUAAAAAAAACCUGAAACUUACCUAGGUAAAAACAACAUUUAUCUAACAUUAAAGAACAACCAAGGAUGGGUACAACUUAGGAAAUAUCAAGAAAUAUAAAACUACUCAAGAAGCACGCUAGAUCAUGUAAACUGGCUCAAACACUCAUGAUAUGUAAUAAAAUAAAAUAAAAUAAUCCUUAGUGCCUCUCUAACCUUAUCUAAAGAUGCCUAUUUUCUUAAUUUAAUUACUAGUAUAUUUAUUACAUAAAUAUGUCAUCAUGGUUUUUAUUUUUUAAAAAAAUAAUUGAAUUAAAAGCCUUGUGUGAAACAUGGUUGUUUUGUUGGUUCUUUUUAUUAGGAUUCUGUUGGUUGUAAAUAUGUUAAUUUGCUAUAAAACCAUUAAUGGUUUUAUUUUAUGAUUAUUUCCUUUUAUGUAUCAUGUAUUUCUUCAUGUAUCUUACAUUAAAAUUAUUGGAUAUAAAUAUCUUAUUUUAUUCGACUCAAGAUGGUAUCAAAGUCCAUGGAGCCUAAAUGGGCCUUCAGUCUCAAAAAAGAAAAAGAAAAAAAGAACUUCAAAGAUUACAAAAAGAAAAUUGAUAAAUUAUCAAUUCUGAAUUGAAAAGUACAGAAAACUAUGAACCAAAAGUAAAAACUACCUUUUCUGCCUUUCCUCUCUCUCAAGGAAACUUGCAGAAACCACUCACAGAAUAACUGAUCGCCCUCCUCUCACUUACCCUCCCUCUAUUUAUAACAAGUUGUAACCACCCUAGUCCCACACUUACACAAUAACUAUUAGUAACUUCCUAUCUUAUCUAAUUACCUUUAUACCCCUAACCCUAUACUACUCUAAGUAUUUAACAGCAUGUCGAGGAUCUCACAUAGGGAAAAUCAAUGGACCUCGUGUUCUUUAUAAAAUAGAUGGAUUACGUCUUUCAUUUUUGAUUGGUUUCGUUAUCUAAUAAAUUCCUUCUUCUAUCUCUGAAGUAGUUAAUGGGCCUGUGAAUGUUGAAACUCCUUGUGGGUCUCCUCUAUGAAUUUUGAGGAGUUGGUUGGUAGUGGUUCUAGUUUCUUUCAAGAGAGAGAGAGAAAGAGAGUAGAAACCUUGUGCAUUGAAUUUAUGAAAUUAUGUUAUUUAAUUAUUAUACUAGUGAGAUGUUCCAAAACAUGAAAGUUCCUUUUGUUUCUUUUACUUUUUAUGUCUCAUUGAAUUUCGAGCAGUAACCUCUUUUUAUUUCAUCAAUGAAAAAAAUUGUUUCCUUUUCAAAGAAAAAAAAACUAAAAUUGUUGCAACCAAAUUAGCAAACUAAACUCGGAAGGUGAAUAUAUGUACUGAUAUCAUUUUUAUUAAUAGACUUGAGUUGAGGCAGAAAACUGUAUGGUCUACGUGAGUUGUGGUUCGACGGUUUGAGCGAAAUUAUAGAACUAUUGUGGAAAA